UACGGAGGGGGCUAGCGUUGUUCGGAAUUACUGGGCGUAAAGCGCACGUAGGCGGACUGGAAAGUCAGGGGUGAAAUCCCGGGGCUCAACCCCGGAACUGCCUUUGAAACUCCCAGUCUUGAGGUCGAGAGAGGUGAGUGGAAUUCCGAGUGUAGAGGUGAAAUUCGUAGAGAUUCGGAGGAACACCAGUGGCGAAGGCGGCUCACUGGCUCGAUACUGACGAUGAGGUGCGAAAGAGUGGGGAGCAAACAGG
rnacentral:rRNA from 1 species